GGGGAAGGGUCUCUUCUGGAGUUCCCUCCUCUGGCGUUUUGCAGUGAGCCCAAGACAAGGCUGCUUCUGAAGCCUGCACAUGUACUCUUCAGCCCGUGAGCAGCAGGAUAUCUUGUGGGUUAAGAGGCUUCUAAAGCAGACAACUAAAGCUAGAUUUGCAGAGUUCAUGUACAGAAGUCAUGAAGAUGCAUUAAAGUUUUACAUCCUCCAGGAACGACAGACUGACAGCAGCUUUGUUUAACAUGGGUUCAAAUUGCUCUCCUUCAACAACUAAGGUUAGCAGACAGCUACCAAACUCAUCUUCAGUAUGAAGCAC